UACGAAGGGGGCUAGCGUUGCUCGGAAUCACUGGGCGUAAAGGGUGCGUAGGCGGGUCUUUAAGUCAGGGGUGAAAUCCUGGAGCUCAACUCCAGAACUGCCUUUGAUACCGAAGAUCUUGAGUUCGGGAGAGGUGAGUGGAACUGCGAGUGUAGAGGUGAAAUUCGUAGAUAUUCGCAAGAACACCAGUGGCGAAGGCGGCUCACUGGCCCGGAACUGACGCUGAGGUGCGAAAGCGUGGGGAGCAAACAGG
rnacentral:rRNA from 1 species